GAUGAACGCUGACAGAAUGCUUAACACAUGCAAGUCGAUGGGGAAGUGGUGCUUGCACCAUGGUAACCAUGGCGGACGGGUGAGUAACACGUAAGGAACUUACCUGCGGGACCGGGAUAACAGCAGGAAACUGCUGACAAGACCGGAUAAGGUCAUUAAGCUGCAUAGCUUAGUGAUGAAAGGAGACGCCUGCGGAGAGCCUUGCGUCCUAUUAGCUAGUUGGAGGGGUAACGGCCCACCAAGGCGAAGAUAGGUAGCCGGCCUGAGAGGGUGGACGGCCACAAGGGGACUGAGAUACGGCCCUUACUCCUACGGGAGGCAGCAGUGGGGAAUAUCGGACAAUGGGGGCAACCCUGAUCCAGCAAUUCUGUGUGCACGAAGACGGUUUUCGGAUUGUAAAGUGCUUUCAGCAGGGAAGAAGGAAGUGACGGUACCUGCAGAAGAAGCGACGGCUAAAUACGUG
rnacentral:rRNA from 1 species